UACAGAGGGUGCAAGCGUUAAUCGGAGUUACUGGGCGUAAAGGGCGCGUAGGCGGUUCGUUAAGUGAGUGGUGAAAUCCCUGGGCUUAACCUGGGAAUGGCCACUUAUACUGGCGAGCUAGAGUACUGUAGAGGGUAGUGGAAUUUCCGGUGUAGCGGUGAAAUGCGUAGAGAUCGGAAGGAACACCAGUGGCGAAGGCGGCUACCUGGACAGAUACUGACGCUGAGGCGCGAGAGCGUGGGGAGCAAACAGG
rnacentral:rRNA from 1 species